GGCUCAUUAAAUCAGUUACGGUUCCUUAGAUAUUGACUGUCUACAUGGAUAACUGUGGUAAUUCUAGAGCUAAUACAUGCACUAAAGCCGUGACUCGAAAGGGAAACGGCGCAUAUAUUAGACCAAGACCAAUGGAUCUUUCGGGAUCCUUUGUAUGGUGACUCUGAAUAUACUCGCUGAUCGCAUGGCCUCUGCGCCGGCGACGAAUCUUUCAAGUGUCUGCCUUAUCAACUGUCGAUGGUAGGUUAUGCGCCUACCAUGGUUGUAACGGGUAACGGGGAAUCAGGGUUCGAUUCCGGAGAGGGAGCCUGAGAAACGGCUACCACAUCCAAGGAAGGCAGCAGGCACGCAAAUUACCCACUCCCGGCACGGGGAGGUAGUGACGAAAAAUAACAAUACAGGACUCUUAUGAGGCCCUGUAAUUGGAAUGAGAACAAUUUAAAUCCUUUAACGAGGAUCAAUUGGAGGGCAAGUCUGGUGCCAGCAGCCGCGGUAAUUCCAGCUCCAAUAGCGUAUAUUAAAGUUGUUGCGGUUAAAAAGCUCGUAGUUGGAUCUCAGUCUCAGCUAGUUGGGUCCACCGCGAGGUGGUUACUCACUAGCGGGACGAAAAUAGCCGAGUUAGUCUCGUGGUGCUCUUAACCGAGUGCCGCAGACGAUCGGUACGUUUACUUUGAAAAAAUGAGAGUGCUCAAAGCAGGCCUGUUGGCCGGAAUAAUCUUGCAUGGAAUAAUGGAAUAGGACCUCGGUUCUAUUUUGUUGGUCUUCGGAACCCGAGGUAAUGAUUAAGAGGGACAGACGGGGGCAUUCGUAUUGCGGCGCUAGAGGUGAAAUUCUUGGACCGUCGCAAGACGAACUAAAGCGAAAGCAUUUGCCAAGAAUGUUUUCAUUAAUCAAGAACGAAAGUUAGAGGUUCGAAGGCGAUCAGAUACCGCCCUAGUUCUAACCAUAAACGAUGCCAACCAGCGAUCAGCCAGAGUUCGUAAAAUGACUCGGCUGGCAGCUUCCGGGAAACCAAAGUUUUUGGGUUCCGGGGGAAGUAUGGUUGCAAAGCUGAAACUUAAAGGAAUUGACGGAAGGGCACCACCAGGAGUGGAGCCUGCGGCUUAAUUUGACUCAACACGGGAAAACUCACCCGGCCCGGACACUGGAAGGAUUGACAGAUUGAGAGCUCUUUCUUGAUUCAGUGGGUGGUGGUGCAUGGCCGUUCUUAGUUGGUGGAGCGAUUUGUCUGGUUAAUUCCGAUAACGAACGAGACUCUAGCCUAUUAAAUAGACUGCGGGGUCGUAAGCCCCCGCAGGACUUCUUAGAGGGACAGGCGGCGAGUAAGCCGCACGAGAGAGAGCAAUAACAGGUCUGUGAUGCCCUUAGAUGUCCGGGGCCGCACGCGCGCUACACUGAAGUGAUCAGCGUGCAUUUGUUCUCGCUCCGUGAGGAGCGAGUAACCCAAGGAACCUUCUUCGUGAUAGGGAUUGGGCAUUGUAAUUAUUGCCCAUGAACGAGGAAUUCCCAGUAAGCGCGAGUCAUUAGCUUGCGUUGAUUACGUCCCUGCCCUUUGUACACACCGCCCGUCGCUACUACCGAUUGAAUGAUAGAGUGAGGUCUUCGGACAGGCUGCCGGAGCUGCCUUCGGGUGGCACUGGAUGUGCUUGAAAGAUGCCCAAACUCGAUCAUUUAGAGGAAGUAAAAGUCG
rnacentral:rRNA from 1 species